CGCCCAGAGUCAGGCGUGUAAACCAGCCGGAGCGGCGGCGGCAGCGGCAGCGGCAGGACCGCAGUGGCGCCGAGAGUAGCGACCCCGAGGCAGCGCGGGGCAACACUGGCUGCGGGGACCCGGUGACAGCGUGAGAGGUACUAGGUUUUGACAAGCUUGCAUCAUGCGUGAGUAUAAGCAGUCGUUCUUGCCUCAGGAGGCGUUGGAAAGUCUGCUUUGACUGUACAAUUUGUUCAAGGAAUUUGUGUAGAAAAAUAUGAUCCUACGAUAGAAGAUUCUUAUAGAAAGCAAGUUGAAGCAGAUGCACAAUAGUGUAUGCUUGAAAUCUUGACUACUGCAGGAAGGGAACAAUUUACAGCAAUGAGGGAUUUGUACAUGAAAAAUGGACAAGGAUUUGCAUUAGUUUAUUCCGUCACAGCACAGUCCACAUUUAACGAUUUACAAGACCUGAGAGAGAACAGAUUCUUCGAGUUAAAGACACUGAUGAUGUUCCAAUGAUUCUUGUUGGUAAUAAGUGUGACUUGGAAGAUGAAAGAGUUGUAGGGAAGGAACAAGGUCAAAAUCUAGCAAGAAAAUGGAACAACUGUGCAUUCUUAGAAUCUUCUGCAAAAUCAAAAGGAAAUGUUAAUGAGAUCUUUUAUGACCUAGUGCGGCAAAUUAACAGAAAACCUCCAGUGCCUGGGAAGACUCGCAAAAAGUCAUCACGUCAGCUGCUUUAAUAUACUAAAUGCAUUGUAGCUCUGAGCCAGGUCUGAAGAACUGUUGCCCAAUUCAACAGUGCCAGCAUUCCAACUUUGUUAAACCUACCAACAUCUUAAAUGGACUUUCCUGUGGUGGUACCCUUUAAGAGGCGGAUGAAAGCUACUAUAUCAGUUUGCACAUUCUAAUCACUUUCCAGUAUCACAAGAAAGAUUUUUACUUAUAUAAUAGUCCUAGAGUACGCAGCUGGUAAAACCAGAGGCUACAUCCAGUAUUACUGCUAAGAGACAUUCUUCAUCCACCAAUGUUGUACAUGUAUGAAAAUGGUGUACUGUAUACUUCAACAUGCCCCAUACGGUGUAUUGGGGGGUACAAUAAUGUAAAUCCUAAAAGCACCACUAUUUUUAGCAUAAUAAAAGAAAGUCCAAAGAACUCCUAUAUAGACUACUCCAGAUAACUUCGCUUCUUUGAUACUUGUAGCUUAUUGUAAUUUUUUUAAGAAAUUCAAGGUCAUUAUUAUUGUACAAAAUAAGCGCUUUAACACAGCUAUAUAGUUUUUUUAAUUUUUAAAAAACUUAUGGAGACAGUGAUCUUGUCUUUAAAAUAUGAUAGUCCUUUCAGUAUAAUGUCUUAAAGACGUUGCCUUUAAUAUCUGUUGGGAAGGAAAUGUCCAGACUUUUCAAAUCUCUUAUUAUAUGUUUCCUUUUUUUUUGUUUACAUAGGGAACAAUGUUUAUAGUUGUGUGUACAGUGGGGGUGUACAGCAAGAAGUGUAUAUUUUCAAACAAUUUUUUAAUGGUUUAACAGUUUUUGUAAAUCAUUUUCAGGCUUCUGCAGCUGUAGAUUCUCAUUGUGAAUGCCUUGCUUGCUCAUGCAUAAGUGUAUUUGCAAUACCAAAUAUACAGGUUUGGUAUUUUUGCCUGUUAGUGAUCGUCACAUGUGUAACGUUUUGGUUGAGAUGUUAAAUGGUGGACGAGUACUGUGGAUGUGAAUGU